AGGUUAACUAAGUCCAUGUGUUGAGAAGUUAGUUUACAUCGCGCUUGUUAGUGCUAUUUCAUGUUUCAUGGUAUUUCAAGCAACAUUAAAGUUUUGAAACCUCGUGACGCACGUAAUAAAUAUAAAUUCAACUUGUUUUUAAUACAUUUUCCUAACUCGGGUAUUUAUUCUUGACUGUUAAAUGAAUAAAGAUAGUUGUUCACUUAUGUCAGAACUUUCACAAGAAGAUGCGCAUCAAAGAGUUUUCAUAUUCCUCUACAUUGUUCCUGUCCCAUGUUUUGGACUCAAAACGAUGAGCAUAUUUUUAUUAGACAAAUGGCACAAUGUUUUACUUGUAACAAAUGGUUUCAUCGUGAAUGCAAAAGUAUUCCACUGCGUGCACAUGAGAAAGAAGAUGUUAUCUGGAACUGUCAUGACUGCCAGAUGCAAAUAACAGAAAACUGAAGUUAUUCUGUUUCCAGUUAAGGGUUUGCAAAAAAAUUUUUUUCUUGUACAGGCAGUUAUUAAUGGAUAAAAUAUUUAUAAAUAUAAAAAGACUACUAAAAUCGGUUCUUUAACCGUUACACUAAAAGUUGGGUUCCAAAAUAUUGGAAAGGUAACCUGUGAUAUUUAACUGCGUAAAGGUAACAACGUAAUGGUAUGAUCAAUUUGUUUCUGUGUUGGUAAGUUUAUUUGCAAUCUUGCACAAAAUAAUAUUGUAAAUGAUUUUUUGUAAAAGUGUACAAUGAAUAUUUGGUAAAUGUAAAUGAUAUAUGUUUUAUUGUAAAAUUUCAUUACAACUCAAUGAAGAAAAUUAUGCUAGUGAUGUUGCUACUGGGUAUCUUUUUGCAUAUAGUUUAUUCAUGGUUACAAAAUGAUACUGGGUUUGCAAUACUUUGGUAACGAUAACAACAAUCAAAUAAUACUGGAAAUGCAUGAUAGUUGGUAAAUAUAUCAACGAUGUUACUGGAAAUGCAAAUAGCUUGAUAAAUACAAUAACAAUUUAAUGUUACUUGGAAUGCAAACAUCUUGGUAAUGAUACCAGCAAUCCAGUUGUUGUUAUUGAAAAUGCAUAUAGCUUGGUAAUGAUACCAGCAAUCCUGUUGUUGUUAUUGGAAAUGCAUAUAGCUUGGUAAUGAUACCAGCAAUCCAGUUGUUGUUAUUAGAAAUGCAUAUACAGGCUUGGACGGGAAUGGCGUGCGAUUACGCACUUUGUUUGACCACACACAUAAAAAAUAUUUUUAUAAUUUGACCACGGUUGCUUAGACGUUUUUGACGAUAUGUUAGGUAUUUUUAAAGCAGUUCAGAAAUGCGUUCAAAAAAUAUUAACAAAACUAAAUUGAAAGGAACAUUAAAUAAACUUAAAAAAAAAGAAUAUCAACGAAAAAUAUAAUAAAAAACUUUAACUAAACUAAAAAAAUCGAACUCGAGGCGAUAGUUACUUUAAGUUACGUUUUUACGUUUCAAAUAAUUAACUUUAAUCUUCUGUGAUGUUCUAUAAAAGUUUCAGAAACACUUUUUCAAAUCACUUUUAACGACCAUUUAAUAAAUAA